CCGGCUCCCUGGCGAGUGCUCCGGGGCGCCCCGCUUACAAGACCGACCACUAGGCUGUGCGGCGCUGUGCGGAGGACAGCCCCUACAGCGGGGGUCGCCCCCACACUGGGACUCCCAUCUGUGCUCCCCUGCGGCUCCGGGGAGUCUAUACUUUAGAAGGACUGGGGAUUCCAGAGAAACCAAGCCCGCCUCAAAGGUCUCCCUCCUUGCAUGUGACCUUCCCCUGAAAGCAGGAGCAAGAAAGACCUUGGCAAUCAUGUUUCAACCCUCCACCCUCUUCCGACCUUUGCAGAGUCUUGGCGAUCUAGAGGAAAACACAAAGUCUUUGGAGUUAUAUGGGCCUGAUACAAAGUUUGGCUCUGCCAUGUGAUCUUGUGCAACCUCAGCAACCUUUCAGAGCUGAGCACCCUCUUUUGCAAAAGGAGGCCAGCAAGACCCAUCUGUCAGGAUACUGUUAAGACUCAGCCACA